UGGGGAAUAUUGCGCAAUGGGGGAAACCCUGACGCAGCAACGCCGCGUGAGUGAAGAAGUAUCUCGGUAUGUAAAGCUCUAUCAGCGGGGAAGAAGGAAGACGGUACCCGACUAAGAAGCCCCGGCUAACUACGUGCC
rnacentral:rRNA from 1 species